GACGAACGCUGGCGGCGUGCCUAAUACAUGCAAGUUGAGCGCUGAAGGUUGGUACUUGUACCAACUGGAUGAGCAGCGAACGGGUGAGUAACGCGUGGGGAAUCUGCCUUUGAGCGGGGGACAACAUUUGGAAACGAAUGCUAAUACCGCAUAAAAACUUUAAACACAAGUUUUAAGUUUGAAAGAUGCAAUUGCAUCACUCAAAGAUGAUCCCGCGUUGUAUUAGCUAGUUGGUGAGGUAAAGGCUCACCAAGGCGAUGAUACAUAGCCGACCUGAGAGGGUGAUCGGCCACAUUGGGACUGAGACACGGCCCAAACUCCUACGGGAGGCAGCAGUAGGGAAUCUUCGGCAAUAGACGAAAGUCUGACCGAGCAACGCCGCGUAAGUGAAGAAGGUUUUCGGAUCGUAAAACUCUGUUGGUAGAGAAGAACGUUGGUGAGAGUGGAAAGCUCAUCAAGUGACGGUAACUACCCAGAAAGGGACGGCUAACUACGUG
rnacentral:rRNA from 1 species